UCCACGUUUCUCCUCCCUGAGCGUGCGUCUUAACUUAGUUAAGAUUUUUAGCCCCCACGCGUUGGGGGCUUUUUUUGU
rnacentral:ncRNA from 1 species